UUGCUCUAUAAAUGCCAGCCAUACCUCCAUCUCCUAGAUCUUGGAAGAAGCUAAGAAGACAUGGCCUGCACUAAACUCUCUGUUGUAAUGUUUCUUCUAUUAUUUGGCUUGUGUUGGGAAGUGCAAAGCACGGGUGCCAAGCUCUGUCCUCAAAUCUGUCUUGAUGUCAACUACGUGACCUGCACAUCUUCUGGCAAUGAGAAGCUGCCAUCCCAAUGCAACUGCUGCAACCUGCCCAAAGAUUGUAUCCUCCACCUAUCGGAUGGAUCUCAAGUAUCUUGCUCUUGAGGUAGUCUUCAAAAGCUUGUGCAAAACGUCAAUAAUAUAUGCAACAUUUAUCUAAAGAAAGGAUUUAAAAAUGGCCAUGUACCAUAUAUGAUCACCACUGGGUGUGGAACCAAAAUUUAUCCAUAGAGUUGCCGGAGAUCAACUUGUAACUAUGUAUUUUUUUCUUUUAUUCCAAGAUUAUAUGCAUAUGAAAUUAUAGUUUA